GAGUUUGAUCCUGGCUCAGGAUUAACGCUGGCGGCGUGCCUAAUACAUGCAAGUCGAAUGGUAGUAGCAAUACAAACCAUGGCGAACGGGUGAGUAACACGUAGGCAACCCAACUUUAAGACGAGGAUAACCGUUGGAAACGACGGAUAAUACUGGAUAGGACAUCACAAAGGGUAUCCUUAGAUGUUUAAAGGUUACUAUGCCACUUAGAGAGGGGCCUGCGGCGCAUUAGCUAGUUGGUGAGAUAACAGCCCACCAAGGCGAUGAUGCGUAGCCGGACUGAGAGGUUGAACGGCCACAAUGGAACUGAGAACGGUCCAUACUCCUACGGGAGGCAGCAGUAGGGAAUUUUCGGCAAUGGGCGGAAGCCUGACCGAGCAACGCCGCGUGAACGAAGAAGUUAUUCGUAAUGUAAAGUUCUUUUAUCUGGGAAGAAAAAACAAAUUGACGGUACCAGAUGAAUAAGCUCCGGCUAACUACGUGCCAGCAGCCGCGGUAAUACGUAGGGAGCGAGCGUUAUCCGGAAUUAUUGGGCGUAAAGGGUGCGCAGAUGGCACAUUAAGUUUCUUGUAAAAAUGCUAGGCUCAACCUAGUAGGGCAAGAGAUACUGAUGAGCUAGAGUACGAGAGAGGCAAGUGGAAUUCCAUGUGUAGCGGUAAAAUGCGUAAAUAUAUGGCAGAACACCAGUGGCGAACGCGGCUUGCUAGCUCGAUACUGACAUUGAGGCACGAAAGCGUGGGGAGCAAACAGAUUAGAUACCCUGGUAGUCCACGCCCUAAACGAUGAGUACUAAGUGCUGGGAGGAAUCUCGGUGCUGAAGUUAACGCAUUAAGUACUCGGCCUGAGUAGUACGUACGCAAGUAUGAAACUUAAAGGAAUUGACGGGAGCCCGCACAAGCGGUGGAGCAUGUUGUUUAAUUCGACGAUACGCGAAGAACCUUACCAGGUCUUGACAUCCUCUGCAAAGCUAUAGAGAUAUAGUGGAGGUUAGCAGAGAGACAGGUGGUGCAUGGUUGUCGUCAGCUCGUGUCGUGAGAUGUUGGGUUAAGUCCCGCAACGAGCGCAACCCUUAUAUCUAGUUACCAUCAUUCAGUUGGGGACUCUAGAUAGACUGCCAUUGAUAAAAUGGAGGAAGGUGGGGAUGACGUCAAAUCAUCAUGCCCUAUAUGACCUGGGCUACAAACGUGCUACAAUGGCUGAAACAAAGAGAAGCGAAGCGGUGACGUGGAGCUAACCUCAUAAAAGCAGUCUCAGUUCGGAUUGAAGUCUGCAACUCGACUUCAUGAAGUUGGAAUCGCUAGUAAUCGCGAAUCAGAAUGUCGCGGUGAAUACGUUCUCGGGCUUUGUACACACCGCCCGUCAAACCAUGAGAGUUUGUAAUACCCGAAGCCGGUGGCCUAACCGCAAGGAAGGAGCCGUCUAAGGUAGGACAGAUGAUUGGGGUUAAGUCGUAACAAGGUAACCGUA
rnacentral:rRNA from 1 species